AUGGGCGUCCCCAGGUGGCCCAGGUGUGUCCCAGGUGUGUCCCCAGCUGUCCCCAGCUGUCCCCAGCUGUCCCAGGUGUGUCCCAGGUGUGUCCCCAGCUGUCCCCAGCUGUCCCCAGCUGUCCCAGGUGUGUCCCUCACCCUGUCCCCGCCCCAGCCGCGUGCGGCAGGUGACGAAGGUGUCGAAGGCGAAGAUGAAGGCGAGCACGAGGCCGAAGGUCUGGGGGGAGGGGAAAGGGGCGUGGCCCGGUCAGUUUGGGGGCGUGGCCCGGUCAGUGGGGGCGGGGCUCGGGGACACUCACGAAGGUGGUGGCGGCCAGCGCGUCACGGGACGAGGCCAAGGCCACCAGGGCCACCAGCAGGAAGAUGAGGGUGCCACUGACGGCCCGGAGCAGGUCCUGGGACACGGGGACAGCGGGAGGUGACAAUGGGGACAUGGGGACCCCACGGGGACACUGGGGACACCUUGGGGACAAUGGGGACACGGGGGACAGCAGGGGGACACUGGGGACACUGGGACAGCAGGGGGACACGGGGGACACCUUGGGGACAAUGGGGGACACCAGGGGGACACGGGGAUGGUGACAGUGGGGACACCCUGGGGGACACCUUGGGAAUACUGUGGGAACAUGGGUGGUGACACUGGGGACACCUUGGGGACAUGUGGGACAAGAUGGGGGGACACAAGGUGAGGGAAGGGGAACAUAAGGACAAGGAUGGGCGUCCCCAGGUGGCCCAGGUGUGUCCCAGGUGUGUCCCAGGUGUGUCCCCAGGUGUCCCAGCUGUCCCCAGGUGUCCCAGAUGUGUCCCAGGUGUGUCCCAGCUGUCCCAGCUGUCCCCAGCUGUCCCCAGGUGUGUCCCCAGGUGUGUCCCAGGUGUCCCCAGCUGUCCCCAGGUGUGUCCCCAGGUGUGGGGGGGGGGGGGGGGGGGGGGGGGGGGGGGGGGGGGGGGGGGGGGGGGGGGGGGGGGGGGGGGGGGGGGGGGGGGGGGGGGGGGGGGGGGGGGG
rnacentral:lncRNA from 12 species